GACGAACGCUGGCGGCGUGCUUAACACAUGCAAGUCGAACGGAAAGGCCCUGCUUUUGUGGGUUGCUCGAGUGGCGAACGGGUGAGUAACACGUGAGUAACCUGCCCUGUACUUUGGGAUAACUUCAGGGAACUGGGGCUAAUACCUGAUAGGAGCUCCUGCUGCAUGGUGGGGGUUGGAAAGUUUCGGCGGUUGGGGAUGGACUCGCGGCUUAUCAGCUUGUUGGUUGGGUAGUGGCUUACCAAGGCUUUGACGGGUAGCCGGCAUGAGAGGGUGACCGGCCACAUUGGGACUGCGAUACGGCCCAGACUCCUACGGGAGGCAGCAGUGGGGAAUAUUGCACAAUGGGCGGAAGCCUGAUGCAGCAACGCCGCGUGCGGGAUGACGGCCUUCGGGUUGUAAACCGCUUUCGCCUGUGACGAAGCGUGAGUGACGGUAAUGGGUAAAGAAGCACCGGCUAACUACGUG
rnacentral:rRNA from 1 species